rnacentral:rRNA from 1 species
GACGAACGCUGGCGGCGUGCCUAAUACAUGCAAGUCGAACGCAGUGGGGACGGGUGAGUCACACGUGGGUAACCUCCCCUCAGAGGGGAUAACACUUGGAAACAGGUGCUAAACCGAUACUGAUGGAUGAACCCGCGGUGCAUUAGCUAGUUGGUGGGGCAACGGCUCACCAAGGCCACGAGGCAUAGCCUGCCUGAGAUGUUGUUCGGCCACGCUGGGACUGAGACACGGCCCAGACUCCUACGGGAGCCGGCGGUAGAGAAUCGUCGCCAAUGGACGAAAGUCUGACCGAGCAACGCCGCGUGAGUGAAGAAGGUUUUCGGAUCGUAAAACUCUGUUGUUAGGGAAGCGGUAUCUAACCAGGAGGCAACGGCUAACUACGUGCCAGCAGCCGCGGUAAUAC